GAUGAACGCCGGCGGCGUGCCUAAUACAUGCAAGUCGAGCGAACGGACGAGAAGCUUGCUUCUCUGAUGUUAGCGGCGGACGGGUGAGUAACACGUGGAUAACCUACCUAUAAGACUGGGAUAACUUCGGGAAACCGGAGCUAAUACCGGAUAAUAUUUUGAACCGCAUGGUUCAAAAGUGAAAGACGGUCUUGCUGUCACUUAUAGAUGGAUCCGCGCUGCAUUAGCUAGUUGGUAAGGUAACGGCUUACCAAGGCAACGAUGCAUAGCCGACCUGAGAGGGUGAUCGGCCACACUGGAACUGAGACACGGUCCAGACUCCUACGGGAGGCAGCAGUAGGGAAUCUUCCGCAAUGGGCGAAAGCCUGACGGAGCAACGCCGCGUGAGUGAUGAAGGUCUUCGGAUCGUAAAACUCUGUUAUUAGGGAAGAACAUAUGUGUAAGUAACUGUGCACAUCUUGACGGUACCUAAUCAGAAAGCCACGGCUAACUACGUGCCAGCAGCCGCGGUAAUACGUAGGUGGCAAGCGUUAUCCGGAAUUAUUGGGUGUAAAGCGCGCGUAGCGGUUUUUUAAGUCUGAUGUGAAAGCCCACGGCUCAACCGUGGAGGGUCAUUGGAAACUGGAAAACUUGAGUGCAGAAGAGGAAAGUGGAAUUCCAUGUGUAGCGGUGAAAUGCGCAGAGAUAUGGAGGAACACCAGUGGCGAAGGCGACUUUCUGGUCUGUAACUGACGCUGAUGUGCGAAAGCGUGGGGAUCAAACAGGAUUAGAUACCCCGGUAGUCCACGCCGUAAACGAUGAGUGCUAAGUGUUAGGGGGUUUCCGCCCCUUAGUGCUGCAGCUAACGCAUUAAGCACUCCGCCUGGGGAGUACGACCGCAAGGUUGAAACUCAAAGGAAUUGACGGGGACCCGCACAAGCGGUGGAGCAUGUGGUUUAAUUCGAAGCAACGCGAAGAACCUUACCAAAUCUUGACAUCCUUUGACAACUCUAGAGAUAGAGCUUUCCCCUUCGGGGGACAAAGUGACAGGUGGUGCAUGGUUGUCGUCAGCUCGUGUCGUGAGAUGUUGGGUUAAGUCCCGCAACGAGCGCAACCCUUAAGCUUAGUUGCCAUCAUUAAGUUGGGCACUCUAAGUUGACUGCCGGUGACAAACCGGAGGAAGGUGGGGAUGACGUCAAAUCAUCAUGCCCCUUAUGAUUUGGGCUACACACGUGCUACAAUGGACAAUACAAAGGGCAGCGAAACCGUGAGGUCAAGCAAAUCCCAUAAAGUUGUUCUCAGUUCGGAUUGUAGUCUGCAACUCGACUACAUGAAGCUGGAAUCGCUAGUAAUCGUAGAUCAGCAUGCUACGGUGAAUACGUUCCCGGGUCU
rnacentral:rRNA from 1 species